rnacentral:rRNA from 1 species
CCCUUAGAUGUCCUGGGCCGCACGCGCGCUACACUGAGUGUCUGAGAUACGAGUCUGCCUGGUCCGGCAAGGUCUAGGUAAUCGCUAAAAGACACAUCAUGCUUGGGAUAGAUUAUUGCAAAUAUUAAUCUUGAACGAGGAAUUCCUAGUAAGCGCAAGUCAACAGCUUGCGUUGAUUACGUCCCUGCCCUUUGUACACACCGCCCGUCGCUACUACUGAUUGGAUGUUUAGGCGAGGUUCUCGAACUGCUAGCGACUUAGCUUCGGUGAGGUCGCAGUGUGGGAAGUGAACCUAGCUUUGGUGUCUAGAGGAAGUAAAAGUCGUAACA